GGCACUAUGGCGGAGUGGUUAACGCGGCGCCCUGCUAUUGUAUAGUCAGGCGUUUCCCUUGGGAGCCAGAGUUCGAAUCUCUGUGGUGUCG
rnacentral:tRNA from 1 species